rnacentral:RNase_P_RNA from 1 species
GGAGUUGGCCAGGCAGUCGCUCCGGGCGGGUAUGCACUCACCCGGGGAGGAAAGUCCGGGCUCCACAGGACAGGAUGCCAGGUAACGCCUGGGGGGCGAGAGCCUACGGAAAGUGCCACAGAAAAUAUACCGC